CUUGAGGUCAAAAGAAGCUUUGUUGGUGUUCACAAUAAGAAACAGACUGGAUAUAGUGGAGGAGGGGACCAGAAACUUCAACAUUGGGAGGUGUGUCAAGAACUGCUCCACUCUUACAUGAAGCAGAAAGGAUGCAUCUGCCCCGUGACUGUCUCAGAAUGGAUGCUGCCCCGGAAUGGAUGCUGUGUGACUCACUUUAUGCCCCUGGCUUCCAGUUAAAGCUGAGGAGCACUUUCUUGAAUUCAGGCUUCUAAUGAGCUAUACAAAGAAUGUUGGCUGUCCAGUGGGAAGGGGCAGUAUGGCACCGUUCAAGAAGGACCCACCUGAGAGACAGAGAACAAGAAUGUUGAAGCUAAAACACCAUACUGAAACUCUCCCCUGAAGCUUGAAAACAAUAAUCCUGUAAUAUGGAAUGGGAUCUAUACAGUUAAACAUCUGCAAUGUAUGCACAACCUUGUAAAUGAAAUAAACACUUCAGAGCUGUCAAUUGAUAAGAAAGUAGAAUAAUAAAUGUCAAGAGCUUUGGAGGCAAAUACAGCAGAAAUUUUGCCUUUACUGCUACAGGAGUUGGAAAUUUAUUUGAGCUUUUGACCUUCUUUGAAUGUGAAUUUUUGCCUCCCAAAUUUAG